AGUAAGCUUUAAUCCGGAGGUUCCCGAAUGAGGAAACUCUUAUAUACUACCUACUGAAUUCAUAAGUAGGAAAGAGCAAACCUAGCGAACUGAAACAUCUUAGUAGCUAGAGGAAAAGAAAGCAAAAGCGAUUCCCUGAGUAGCGGCGAGCGAAACGGGAUCAGCCUAAACCACUUUAACAAGUUUUAGUGGGGUUGUGGGACAGAACAAAAAAAUAACAUAAGUUAGGUGAAACAAUUGGAAUAUUGUAUCAUAGAAGGUGAUAAUCCUGUAACCGAAAACAAUUGUUAUAUAUCUGUAUCCCAAGUAGCAUGGGACACGUGAAAUCCCGUGUGAAUCAGCGAGGACCACCUCGUAAGGCUAAAUAUUCCUAAAUGACCGAUAGUGAAACAGUACCGUGAGGGAAAGGUGAAAAGAACCCCGGGAGGGGAGUGAAAUA
rnacentral:rRNA from 1 species